GAUGAACGCUGGCGGUAGGCCUAACACAUGCAAGUCGAACGGCAGCACAGUAAGAUCUUGCUCUUCCGGGUGGCCAGUCGCGGACGGAUGAGGAGUACAUCCGAAUCUUCUUUUUCGUGUGGGUUCACGUAGGGGAACUUACGCUAAUACAGCAUACGCCCUACGGGGGAAAGCGGGGGAUCUUCGGACCUGUCGGGAUUGAAUGCGCCGAUGUCGGACUUGCUAGUUGGGUGGGUAAAUGCCCACCAAGGCGAGGAUCCGUAGCUGGUCUGAGUGGAUGGUCAGCCACACUGGAACUGAGACACGGUCCAGGCUCCUACGGGAGGCAGCAGUGGGGAAUAUUGGACAAUGGGCGCAAGCCUGAUCCAGCCAUACCGCGUGGGUGAAGAAGGCCUUCGGGUUGUAAAGCCCGUUUGUUGGGAAAGAAAAGCAGCAGGUUAAUACGCCGCUGUUCUGACGGUACCCAAAGAAUAAGCACCGGCUAACUUCGUG
rnacentral:rRNA from 1 species